ACUUCUUUGACACACUUAACUUUAACAUUUCUUCUACAUAGGUGUAUCAUUUUGCCUUCUCUUUUCUUUUUCAUUCUUUCAUCUUUUUUUUCUUUUUCUUUUUAUUUUUUAUUUUUUAUUUUUAUCAUUUGUUUACUGUGUACCACGACUACACCCCUCCAUUGUCACACUGCGUACUUACAAACAGUUAUUGUGUUUCAUUGUUUGAGAAUGUUCUAGUCAGUGGUUUUCCCUGGGUGAUGCAUAUCUUGUAAAGAGUUGGUAGUGGUGAAAAGCACCACAAGUUGUGUUAAGGCAAUUUAUGAAGUGUUGGUGUUUUGUUGUAAAACAGGAGUUUAAGCUACUACACUCUUGCUUCAAUGGUGACUUUGAUCCUUUAUCUUUCACAACUCAUGACAAAUGGGUUGUAUAUCUUUUCAAUUAAUGUUUCUUUUAAUGGAUGCUAAUGAUGAUGAGGAAUUCAUCAAGCUGUUGAUUUUACACGAUUGGAACCAUAUUUGGUUUUCGAAUUGUCUUACUAGACGGCGGUCCUUGUUUACUACAUCUUAAAUAAAGGGUCUUUUUUUUUGGUUGUUGAUAAGUACUACAUCUUAAAUAAAUAAAGUUGUAAUGAGUUCUUUUAUUUUGUUUGUAUGUGUUUUACUUUAGAAUGAAACUAGAGAAAAGAUAAAAGUUGGGUUGCUUCCGGAAAAAAUUAAGCUCUGUAACUAUUUGUAAUCAUGUUGCAAUUUUGUCAUUGAUGAACAGGAUUCUCUCAGCUAAGAGUGACCCUAUUUUACUUUUAGGUCUCACCUUUAUUCUAUCAUUGGAACAUGAUUGUGUUUUUAAGGUAACAGUAAGACUGCAAUGUUAUAGAUAGAGCUGGCAUAAUUAUAUCUAAGUUAUAGAUAGUUAGGGUUGCAUAAGGGGGUAAGUUUGUGGAAAAGCAUUUGGAAGAGCUGGGAGUUCUCCGGACAUGCUACUUUCAUAGUGAGGAUUAGGGAUCGAGUAUGCUUUUGGAAUGGUCCACUGUGUGGGGAGAUUAUGUUAAAUUGUUUGAUUUCUAAGCUUUUUUGUGUUGCACUGGAUAGGGAUGCAUAUAUGGCUGAUUAAAUGAAUUGGUUCAAUAGUGAACUCCAAUUGUAUAAGGGCUGUACAGGAUUGGGAACUUGGGUCAGCGGAUCAGUUUACUGAGUUAUUCAGUUAACUUGAAUAGGGAGGGCAUUGAUUGGUGAGGUAAAAUCUUAUUAUUUGGCUCUGAUAGAGGUUUAACGGGAACCAUUCCAUGGAGGAAUAUUUAUCAGGCCAAGGGCCCUAACAAGUGGGGAUUGUUUUGUUUGGACAGCAGCAAGGAGAAAAUUUUUGACAAUGGACAAUCUGAAAAAAUUGUGAAAUAUUUUAGUGGAUUGGUGUUCUAUGAGUAAAUCAAAUGCAGAAGAAUUGGAGCAUUAAGCAACCAAUGCAGCGCAUUAUAUUUUCAACCAUCUAGCCAACAGCUCUACACACAUUAGCUAAGAGGGAGAAGAAUUGCUGAACUUUUGAAGAUUUGGAAAACUCGGCGGUUCAAUUGAAGACGUAUUUCACUAGAUCAUUGUUUGAAUGGUCUAGUGCUUUGAGUUAUAGUGUCACUCUUUCUUUUGUAGAUUUCACUCGAUUCCCCUUUAUUUCGAUUGUAAUUUGCAUGUGUUGCAAUUUUAGGCUAUCUUAAGUAUGCAUCCUGUGUACAUGAGGUACUUCCUCCAUCUUAAUAACAUUAUAUUAGUUAUAAAAAAUAAAAAUAAAAAUAAAAGGAAAAAGAAGAAGAAUUCAACCUUUUUUUUUA